AAUUAAUAACUGUCAUUAAUUAAAUUUAUUGAUCAGAUAAACAUUCGGAAUUUUGAUUUUUCGGAAUUUUGUAUUAAUCAUGGAGGUAUGUCGCUGCGAAGAAUAUAAAGAGCCGGUGAGGAAGAUAAAGAUAUUCACGUUGUGCACGUUAUUGCCGCAGAUCGAACGCGUCAAAGUGCCUGAAAAUGUUAUAAUCGACAUUCGAAACGUGCCAAUCUCAAAUGUGCGCGACCCACGCCGAAAUAAACCUUACAUUUUCCCGGCAACAAUAGAAUCUAAUCGCGUUGUGCCAAAUAAUUGGAUUCCUGUUAUCCACGGAACAAUAUCUACUAAAUUAACCUACGCGAAUAAAGCCUUGUACUGCCGAAUUUACUAAAUUUUACUUGAAAAUAAAUAAAUACACAUUGACUGUAUGCAACCUUAUAAGCAGCUGUACACAAAGCUGCGCGCAGACAUGACUCAGUGUUGCAGACUUGAAACCGGUGCGGCGUGGCGGGCCAACAUGCCGAUAAUACAAUGACGACAAUCAGCAGCAGGAAAGCAAACAGUGCUAAACCGCCGACGUAAUAUAGGCCAUGCUUAGUAAGGCCGCUUUUAUCACGCAGCUUUUGUUCAGUUUUCGUCCAAAACAAGCGGCCUUUACUCUUUUCUUCCAGACAUGGCUCGCUUUCCUCAUCGGCGGUUUUGAACGCACCGUCAACUCCGUUUUGUUCCUUCUGCGGGAAAUUUUCCUCGGGCAUUGUUAAAAUUCAAAAAUUUU